rnacentral:rRNA from 1 species
AGAGUUUGAUCCUGGCUCAGGACGAACGCUGGCGGCGCGCCUAACACAUGCAAGUCGAACGAGCGAGAGAGAGCUUGCUUUCUCGAGCGAGUGGCGAACGGGUGAGUAACGCGUGAGGAACCUGCCUCAAAGAGGGGGACAACAGUUGGAAACGACUGCUAAUACCGCAUAAGCCCACGGGUCGGCAUCGACCAGAGGGAAAAGGAGCAAUCCGCUUUGAGAUGGCCUCGCGUCCGAUUAGCUAGUUGGUGAGGUAACGGCCCACCAAGGCGACGAUCGGUAGCCGGACUGAGAGGUUGAACGGCCACAUUGGGACUGAGACACGGCCCAGACUCCUACGGGAGGCAGCAGUGGGGAAUAUUGCACAAUGGGGGAAACCCUGAUGCAGCGACGCCGCGUGGAGGAAGAAGGUCUUCGGAUUGUAAACUCCUGCUGUUGGGGAAGAUAAUGACGGUACCCAACAAGGAAGUGACGGCUAACUACGUGCCAGCAGCCGCGGUAAAACGUAGGUCACAAGCGUUGUCCGGAAUUACUGGGUGUAAAGGGAGCGCAGGCGGGAAGACAAGUUGGAAGUGAAAUCCAUGGGCUCAACUCAUGAACUGCUUUCAAAACUGUUUUUCUUGAGUAGUGCAGAGGUAGGCGGAAUUCCCGGUGUAGCGGUGGAAUGCGUAGAUAUCGGGAGGAACACCAGUGCGAAGGCGGCCUACUGGGCACCAACUGACGCUGAGCUCGAAAGUGUGGGUAGCAAACAGGAUUAGAUACCCUGGUAGUCACACCGUAACGAUGAUACUAGGUGUUGGGGAUUGACUCUCUCAUUGCCGCAGUCACCAUACUACUCAGCUGGGGGUACGCCGCAGGGUGAAACUCAAAGGAAUUGACGGGGGCCCGCACAAGCAGUGGAGUAUGUGGUUUAAUUCGACGCAACGCGAAGAACCUUACCAAGUCUUGACAUCCCUUGACAGACAUAGAGAUAUGUUUUCUCUUCGGAGCAAGGAGACAGGUGGUGCAUGGUUGUCGUCAGCUCGUGUCGUGAGAUGUUGGGUUAAGUCCCGCAACGAGCGCAACCCUUAUGGUCAGUUACUACGCAAGAGGACUCUGGCUAGACUGCCGUUGACAAAACGGAGGAAGGUGGGGAUGACGUCAAAUCAUCAUGCCCUUUAUGACUUGGGCUACACACGUACUACAAUGGCGUUAAACAAAGAGAAGCAAGACCGCGAGGUGGAGCAAAACUCAGAAACAACGUCCCAGUUCGGACUGCAGGCUGCAACUCGCCUGCACGAAGUCGGAAUUGCUAGUAAUCGUGGAUCGGCAUGCCACGGUGAAUACGUUCCCGGGCCUUGCACACACCGCCCGUC